GACAGAGGGUGCAACGUUGUUCGAAUUACUGGGCGUAAAGCGAGUGUAGGCGGUGUGGUAAGUCGGAUGUGAAAGCCCCGGGCUCAACCCGGGAAGUGCACUCGAUACUGCCACGCUAGAGUAUCGGAGAGGUUGGUGGAAUUCUCGGUGUAGAGGUGAAAUUCGUAGAUAUCGAGAGGAACACCGGUGGCGAAGGCGGCCAACUGGACGAAUACUGACGCUGAGACUCGAAAGCGUGGGGAGCAAACAGG
rnacentral:rRNA from 1 species